CGAAAAUGUGUGGUCCUGUUUACUGGGUGCCUCAGCGUUGGGAAUAUACCGACUGUGUCUUGACCAAAUGGUUGUCCAGCGUAUAAUGGCAUCUCCAUCCCUGAAGAAUGCUCGAAGAACCGUGGUCUCUGGUGCCUUUUUACUUCUUCUGCCAUACAUCACCUGUACUUUACUAGGAAUAGCGAUAACCAUUUGGUAUCGGGGAUGUGAUCCCGGGCUGUCUGGAGCGAUAAAGAGCAUUGAUCAGAUUAUACCCCACUAUCUUACCACUGAACUUAUCAGCAUACCAGGACUCGUAGGCCUCUACCUGGCUGGUGUAGUAAGUGCCGGAACAAG
rnacentral:lncRNA from 1 species